rnacentral:rRNA from 1 species
UGGGGAAUUUUGGACAAUGGGCGAAAGCCUGAUCCAGCAAUGCCGCGUGUGUGAAGAAGGCCUUCGGGUUGUAAAGCACUUUUGUCCGGAAAGAAAUCCUUGGCUCUAAUACAGUCGGGGGAUGACGGUACCGGAAGAAUAAGCACCGGCUAACUACGUGCCAGCAGCCGCGGUAAUACGUAGGGUGCAAGCGUUAAUCGGAAUUACUGGGCGUAAAGCGUGCGCAGGCGGUUUGCUAAGACCGAUGUGAAAUCCCCGGGCUCAACCUGGGAACUGCAUUGGUGACUGGCAGGCUAGAGUAUGGCAGAGGGGGGUAGAAUUCCACGUGUNNGUAGAUGCAGUAGAGAUGGUGGAGGAAUACCGAUGGCGAAGGCAGCCCCUGGGCCAAUACUGACGCUCAUGCACGAAAGCGUGGGGGAGCAAACAGGAUUAGAUACCCUGGUAGUCCACGCCCUAAACGAUGUCAACUAGUUGUUGGGGAUUCAUUUCCUUAGUAACGUAGCUAACGCGUGAAGUUGACCGCCUGGGGAGUACGGUCGC